AUGUAUACCACUGCAUUCAAUACAAAGAACUACCGGUAUAUUGAUCGAGCACCAAGUAACAUCUUUAACCGAACCGCAAUCUGCACACACACUGUUAGAGACAUCGGUCUUUCGGAGCAUUUGAAUGAAAAUGUUUGCACUGGCAUGGUAUCUCUCUAACUGUUCCAUAUGCAUAGUACCCGAAUUGUCUGAUCGAAAAAAUUGUUGAAGGUUCCACGAGCCUUUUCUACUGAAAGCCUUCUUAAUACCCGAACCGCUUAAUUUUCGGCUGAUAGGCGUGGUCUCAAAACUCGUAGAAAAUAGUGGAAAUACCUUAGAGGGUCGUCUCACACUUGCACUCAACGGCGUUGCAACCCUAGAAAGUUGGAAAGACGAAAUCUUUGCUGCUUCGCAUAUAGCUUCAAUCCACGAGUCCAUCUCUUCAGCAGACGUGGCUUGAUAAAGUCGCUUCAAUUUCGGAGUUACAACUUCGAAACAAAACCUCCUUCCCUGUUUGCGAACUUUAUCAGCAGAUGCAUGUUUUAACGAAAUGGAUGAAACAUUAGAUUUUACGGAAUCUUUCCAGUUUGCAUACUCCCAUAAAGAACCGUUCUCAACAACAAUCCAGUGCUUGUGCCAAGCGGCUUUACUAACCAUAGCUAGAUCUGUACCAAGUUCGGUAGCACCAAAUACUAAGAGUAGACCCUCUUUAAAAAUCUUGUCAGGGCUUGCACUACCCCCAUUAGAAAUGCACUUUCCCUUUAUCUCCGUUGUAAAAUUGCUUGUCUGGCUAAUAUCAUCUGCAGAGGCUGCCAUGCGACGAUUUGGCAUAGGACUCUGUAUUUCAUGUAAAGGGAAAGAAGGGGAAAUCGGAGAUGGUGAAGGCGGUGCCAUGGACUUUGGACGACCGCUAGUUUGAAUUACCUGGGAACGAUGCAUCUCUCUGCCCUUGUCACGUCUGGUUGUACUCCAUUUUGUUUUUUCAAGUUUUAAAUUGAGUUGCUGAAGAUUCGGAAGAACACUAUUCAUCAAAUUACUAAAAAGUGCAAUAUGGUCAUAUUGGCGAUGAAAGUACUGCAAAAAAAUACCGUUAAUAUCAUUAAUAAUGGAACCAUCGUGAAGGUCUUGCAUAAAACAAUAGUAAUCAUAUCGUUGUAAGGCAAACGUUUUCUCUUUUUGAAAAAAUUUAGAG